rnacentral:rRNA from 1 species
GACGAACGCUGGCGGCGUGCCUAAUACAUGCAAGUCGAGCGCAGGAAACUGACGGAACUCUUCGGAGGGAAGGCAGCGGAAUGAGCGGCGGACGGGUGAGUAACACGUAAGGAACCUGCCUCAAGGAUUGGGAUAACUCCGAGAAAUCGGAGCUAAUACCGGAUAGUUCAACGGACCGCAUGGUCCGCUGAUGAAAGGCGCUCCGGCGUCACCUUGAGAUGGCCUUGCGGUGCAUUAGCUAGUUGGUGGGGUAACGGCCCACCAAGGCGACGAUGCAUAGCCGACCUGGGUGGGUGAUCGGACACACUGGGACUGAGACACGGCCCAGACUCCUACGGGAGGCAGCAGUAGGGAAUCUUCCACAAUGGACGAAAGUCUGAUGGAGCAACGCCGCGUGAGUGAUGAAGGUUUUCGGAUCGUAAAACUCUGUUGUAGGGAAGAACACGUACGAGAGGAAAUGCUCGUACCUUGACGGUACCUUACGAGAAAGCCACGGCUAACUACGUGCCAGCAGCCGCGGUAAUAC